CCGGCCUUGAAAUACCACCCUUUAAUGUUUGAUGUUCUAACGUGGACCCGUGAUCCGGGUUGCGGACAGUGUCUGGUGGGUAGUUUGACUGGGGCGGUCUCCUCCUAAAGAGUAACGGAGGAGCACGAAGGUUGGCUAAUCCUGGUCGGACAUCAGGAGGUUAGUGCAAUGGCAUAAGCCAGCUUGACUGCGAGCGUGACGGCGCGAGCAGGUGCGAAAGCAGGUCAUAGUGAUCCGGUGGUUCUGAAUGGAAGGGCCAUCGCUCAACGGAUAAAAGGUACUCCGGGGAUAACAGGCUGAUACCGCCCAAGAGUUCAUAUCGACGGCGGUGUUUGGCACCUCGAUGUCGGCUCAUCACAUCCUGGGGCUGAAGUAGGUCCCAAGGGUAUGGCUGUUCGCCAUUUAAAGUGGUACGCGAGCUGGGUUUAGAACGUCGUGAGACAGUUCGGUCCCUAUCUGCCGUGGGCGCUGGAGAACUGAGGGGGGCUGCUCCUAGUACGAGAGGACCGGAGUGGACGCAUCACUGGUGUUCGGGUUGUCAUGCCAAUGGCACUGCCCGGUAGCUAAAUGCGGAAGAGAUAAGUGCUGAAAGCAUCUAAGCACGAAACUUGCCCCGA
rnacentral:rRNA from 2 species